GUUUAAUACCACUGCAGUGAUCCAGAAAGAACACAGGAUUUCAGCUUAUAUCACGUCUGAGUGUCAGUGCCUCCUCUUGGAUCUUGCACAGACAUUGGUGUAUUGUUGUGUAUGAGAGAGGUUCUCCAGGAUGGUGGGCAUUGAUUUCCUUUAACAUUUCAUCCCCAAAAGAAGAGUAAUUUCUGGAGAAUCAAGGCAGUGAAAGCCCUUAAUUGUUUGCAGUAUGGAUGAUCACAGGACUCGGGGAACGUUCUUACAGAUUUCAUUGCAUGAUAGAUGCCCAUUCUGGAAGAUUUCAAGCGGCAGAUUAUCAAGCAGAAAGGAACCAUCACAGACAUUUAGAAAACACUUCAGAUCUACGCAGCUUAGCAAAGCUGGUGUCACAGAACCCCAAACCCACCGUUGUGCUGCAGGCUCCACAGCCUACACUCAGAACCUUUCCUUCAAAGCAAAGCAAAAAAAGAAAGAAAGAAAAAGCAAGCAAGGUGAAUGCCAGUUUGAUUGGUGGCAGGCUGCAGACUCUGAAGGCUGUUCUCCAUCAGAGCCUGCACAGCGAGGACCUGUGUUUGCAUGGGAAGCACGAAGCACAAAGGAGGUGCUCAGGCCUCACCUCGCACAUUUAAUCACUCCUGUGAAUGGGUGUCAUUGAGGUCCUGGCAGCCCAGUCCCAGCAUGCUGCAUCCCCCCGAGGUACCAUUGCCGUGUGAGCUGCAAGCGGCACAGAGAGGCAGCUGCUGCCUCCUAACACGCAGGGGAUGAAGCUGCAUGCACAGCACUACUAAUGAGGAAAGCAGUGAUUCCUCACUCAUUGAAAUACCAUCGUUCCUUGGAAUGGGCUUUCCUAGUGCUGGGUUUGAGAAGUUUUUGGAGCUGAGGAGAAAGUUACUCCCUGAGCACUGAACAGCGACAGCUAGAUCGUGGAGCUGGACCGUUCUUUGAUCCUUUCUGGGAGAAAACAAAAGAUCUGUAUGGCAUCGAUCCUUUUAUUCCUCCUUUCCCAAAUGAUCAGCCAAUGUUUUAGGAAAGAAUGAACUUCAGAUCUUCUGAGCAUGCAAAGCAACAAGGCAUCAAGGCAGCAGUGACACAAGCAGCAAUAUCCUUUGUGCUACAUUCCUUGCUGGAGUUCUGGUAGAGCCAGCAUGUUACAAAAACGGGGAUAACAGAAUUGCAAAGAGCAUAUACUAAAACGUCUUGCAGUCCUGUAAUGAGCCUGAUGCAUCAUGAAUCAAAAGUGCAAGCGGAAUUCUUCCCUGGAGAGCCUAACUGUUCAAGGAGAAGGAAUUCACUGUGUCAUAAGUAAAAUAUGUUUAAUAGUUUGUUGCACUGUUUUCAAGCAACUCAUUUAGAAAAUUACAAUAUUUAAGCUGUGUUGCAUUUUUGAUCAUUCUUAUUCUGGCAAACAUGAUAUAUUUCCUAUUGAUUUUUAA
ensembl:lncRNA